rnacentral:rRNA from 1 species
UACGUAGGGUGCAAGCGUUGUCCGGAAUUAUUGGGCGUAAAGAGCUCGUAGGCGGUCUGUCGCGUCUGCUGUGAAAACUCAGGGCUUAACCCUGAGCUUGCAGUGGGUACGGGCAGACUAGAGUGCGGUAGGGGAGACUGGAAUUCCUGGUGUAGCGGUGAAAUGCGCAGAUAUCAGGAGGAACACCGGUGGCGAAGGCGGGGUCUCUGGGCCGUAACUGACGCUGGAGGAGCGGAAAGCAUGGGGAGCGAACAG